AACGCUGGCGGCGUGCUUAACACAUGCAAGUUGAACGGACAUACAGUUGAAGGGCAACUGGAAGCUGUAUGUUAGUGGCGGACGGGUGAGUAACACGUAGAUAACCUACCCUUAAGUGGGGGACAACCCAGGGAAACUUGGGCUAAUACCGCAUAAGACCACGUGCUGGGAUGUGCGUGGUAAAAGGAGCAAUUUGCUUAGGGAUGGGUCUGCGGCCUAUCAGGUAGUUGGUGGGGUAAGUGCCCACCAAGCCAGAGACGGGUAGCCGGUCUGAGAGGACGAACGGCCACACUGGAACUGAGACACGGUCCAGACUCCUACGGGAGGCAGCAGUGGGGAAUCUUGCACAAUGGGCGAAAGCCUGAUGCAGCGACGCCGCGUGGGGGACGAAGGCCUUCGGGUUGUAAACUCCUUUUGUAGGGGAAAAUGAUGAUGGUACCCUGCGAAUAAGCCACGGCUAACUCUGUGCCAGCAGCCGCGGUAUGACAGAGGUGGCGAGCGUUGUUCGGAAUUACUGGGCUUAAAGGGCGCGUAGGCGGUGGUACAAGUCUGGGGUGGAAUUCGGAAGCUUAACUUACGAACUGCCCUGGAAACUGUAUCACUUGAGUUGGUGAGGGGAAGGCGGAAUUCCUGGUGUAGCGGUGAAAUGCGU
rnacentral:rRNA from 1 species